UGAGCGUGGCGAGUGAGGAUCGCCGGUGGCUUCGGCCACGGGAGGAAAGUCCGAGCUCCACAGGGCAGGGUGCCGGGUAACGCCCGGGCGUCGUGAGGCGACGGAAAGUGCCACAGAGAAGUAGACCGCCGAUGGCCGCUUGCGGCACAGGCAAGGGUGAAAAGGUGCGGUAAGAGCGCACCGGGCCGCUGGGAACAGAGGUCGCACGGUAAACCCCACUCGUAGCAAGGCCAAAUAGGGGACGAGGAGUUGCCCGCUCCGUCUGAGUCCCGGGUAGGCUGCUUGAGGUCGCUGGCAACAGCGACCCUAGAUGAAUGAUCCUCCCCCGAAAGGGGACAGAACUCGGCUUAUUCCGCGCGCUCAUUUU
rnacentral:RNase_P_RNA from 1 species